rnacentral:rRNA from 1 species
UGGGGGAUAUUGCACAAUGGGCGAAAGCCUGAUGCAGCGACGCCGCGUGGGGGUUGAAGGCCUUCGGGUUGUAAACUUCUUUUGCUCUGAACAAGGCAUGCCUUUGGGGUGUGUUGAGUGUAGGGGUUGAUUAGCGCCGGCUAACUACGUGCCAGCAGCCGCGGUAAUACGUAGGGCGCGAGCGUUGUCCGGAAUUAUUGGGCGUAAAGGGCUUGUAGGUGGCUGGUUGCGUCUGUCGUGAAAGCUCAUGGCUUAACUGUGGGUUUGCGGUGGGUACGGGCUGGCUUGAGUGCAGUAGGGGAGGCUGGAAUUCCUGGUGUGGCGGUGGAAUGCGCAGAUAUCAGGAGGAAUACCGGUGGCGAAGGCGGGUCUCUGGGCUGUUACUGACGCUGAGGAGCGAAAGCGUGGGGAGCGAACAGG